rfam:Pan troglodytes isolate Yerkes chimp pedigree #C0471 (Clint) chromosome 5, whole genome shotgun sequence.
GGGAAAUGAGCAGAGGGGCCAGCCUCAGGCCCUAAAACAAACUGGGGCA